GUUGGGUAGGGGAGCGUUGUGUAAGCCGAAGAAGGUGACUUGAGAGGGUUGCUGGAGGUAUCACAAGUGCGAAUGCUGACAUAAGUAACGAUAAAGCGGGUGAAAGGCCCGCUCGCCGGAAGACCAAGGUUUCCUGUCCAACGUUAAUCGGGGCAGGGUGAGUCGGCCCCUAAGGCGAGGCUGAAGAGCGUAGUCGAUGGGAAAUGGGUUAAUAUUCCCAUACUUGUUAGAUAAGCGAUGUAGGGACGGAGAAGGCUAGGCAAGCAGACGGACGGAAGGGUCUGUUCAAGCGUGUAGGUAGAUGGUGUAGGCAAAUCCGCACCAUUAAUGCUGAGGCGUGAUGAGGAGUAACUACGGUUGCGAAGUUGUUGAUGCCAAGCUUCCAGGAAAAGCUGCUAAGCACAUUAUCUAAUAAACCGUACUGAAAACCGACACAGGUGGUCAGGUAGAGAAUACUAAGGCGCUUGAGAGAACUCGGGUGAAGGAACUAGGCAAAAUAGCACCGUAACUUCGGGAGAAGGUGCGCUGGCGUAGUGUGAAGUCUGAACAGAUGGAGCAUGAACCAGUCGAAGAGACCUGCUGGCUGCAACUGUUUAAUAAAAACACAGCACUCUGCAAACACGCAAGUGGACGUAUAGGGUGUGACGCCUGCCCGGUGCUGGAAGGUUAAUUGAUGGUGUUAUUGAAAGAGAAGCACUUGAUCGAAGCCCCAGUAAACGGCGGCCGUAACUAUAACGGUCCUAAGGUAGCGAAAUUCCUUGUCGGGUAAGUUCCGACCUGCACGAAUGGCGUAAUGAUGGCCAGGCUGUCUCCACCCGAGACUCAGUGAAAUUGAAAUCGCCGUGAAGAUGCGGUGUACCCGCGGCUAGACGGAAAGACCCCGUGAACCUUUACUAUAGCUUGACACUGAACCUUGAAUUUUAAUGUGUAGGAUAGGUGGGAGACUGAGAGAUACUGACGCCAGUUGGUAAGGAGUCGAUGUUGAAAUACCACCCUUUAACGUUUGAUGUUCUAACGAGGUACCUGUAACGGGUAUUCGGACAGUGUCUGGUGGGUAGUUUGACUGGGGCGGUCUCCUCCCAAAGAGUAACGGAGGAGUACGAAGGUUUGCUAAUCACGGUCGGACAUCGUGAGGUUAGUACAAUGGUAGAAGCAAGCUUGACUGCGAGACGGACAAGUCGAGCAGGUACGAAAGUAGGUCAUAGUGAUCCGGUGGUUCUGAAUGGAAGGGCCAUCGCUCAACGGAUAAAAGGUACUCCGGGGAUAACAGGCUGAUACCGCCCAAGAGUUCAUAUCGACGGCGGUGUUUGGCACCUCGAUGUCGGCUCAUCACAUCCUGGGGCUGAAGUAGGUCCCAAGGGUAUGGCUGUUCGCCAUUUAAAGUGGUACGCGAGCUGGGUUUAGAACGUCGUGAGACAGUUCGGUCCCUAUCUGCCGUGGGCGAAGGAGAAUUGAGGGGGGCUGCUCCUAGUACGAGAGGACCGGAGUGGACGCACCGCUGGUGUUCCAGUUGUUUCGCCAGAAGCAUUGCUGGGUAGCUAAGUGCGGGAGAGAUAAGUGCUGAAAGCAUCUAAGCACGAAACUUGCCCCGAGAUGAGUUGUCCCAAUCGAGAGAUUGUAAGGGUUGUUGAAGACGACGACGUAGAUAGGUGGGGUGUGUAAGUGAUGUGAGUCAUUGAGCUAACCCAUACUAAUUGCCCGAGAGGCUUAACUAUACAACGCUGAAGGGUUUU
rnacentral:rRNA from 1 species